GAUGAACGCUGGCGGCGUGCCUAAUACAUGCAAGUCGAGCGAACGGACGAGAAGCUUGCUUCUCUGAUGUUAGCGGCGGACGGGUGAGUAACACGCGGAUAACCUACCUAUAAGACUGGGAUAACUUCGGGAAACCGGAGCUAAUACCGGAUAAUAUUUUGAACCGCAUGGUUCAAAAGUGAAAGACGGUCUUGCUGUCACUUAUAGAUGGAUCCGCGCUGCAUUAGCUAGUUGGUAAGGUAACGGCUUACCAAGGCAACGAUGCAUAGCCGACCUGAGAGGGUGAUCGGCCACACUGGAACUGAGACACGGUCCAGACUCCUACGGGAGGCAGCAGUAGGGAAUCUUCCGCAAUGGGCGAAAGCCUGACGGAGCAACGCCGCGUGAGUGAUGAAGGUCUUCGGAUCGUAAAACACUGUUAUUAGGGAAGAACAUAUGUGUAAGUAACUGUGCACAUCUUGACGGUACCUAAUCAGAAAGCCACGGCUAACUACGUGCCAGCAGCCGCGGUAAUACGUAGGUGGCAAGCGUUAUCCGGAAUUAUUGGGCGUAAAGCGCGCGUAGGCGGUUUUUUAAGUCUGAUGUGAAAGCCCACGGCUCAACCGUGGAGGGUCAUUGGAAACUGGAAAACUUGAGUGCAGAAGAGGAAAGUGGAAUUCCAUGUGUAGCGGUGAAAUGCGCAGAGAUAUGGAGGAACACCAGUGGCGAAGGCGACUUUCUGGUCUGUAACUGACGCUGAUGUGCGAAAGCGUGGGGAUCAAACAGGAUUAGAUACCCUGGUAGUCCACGCCGUAAACGAUGAGUGCUAAGUGUUAGGGGGUUUCCGCCCCUUAGUGCUGCAGCUAACGCAUUAAGCACUCCGCCUGGGGAGUACGACCGCAAGGUUGAAACUCAAAGGAAUUGACGGGGACCCGCACAAGCGGUGGAGCAUGUGGUUUAAUUCGAAGCAACGCGAAGAACCUUACCAAAUCUUGACAUCCUUUGACAACUCUAGAGAUAGAGCCUUCCCCUUCGGGGGACAAAGUGACAGGUGGUGCAUGGUUGUCGUCAGCUCGUGUCGUGAGAUGUUGGGUUAAGUCCCGCAACGAGCGCAACCCUUAAGCUUAGUUGCCAUCAUUAAGUUGGGCACUCUAAGUUGACUGCCGGUGACAAACCGGAGGAAGGUGGGGAUGACGUCAAAUCAUCAUGCCCCUUAUGAUUUGGGCUACACACGUGCUACAAUGGACAAUACAAAGGGCAGCGAAACCGCGAGGUCAAGCAAAUCCCAUAAAGUUGUUCUCAGUUCGGAUUGUAGUCUGCAACUCGACUACAUGAAGCUGGAAUCGCUAGUAAUCGUAGAUCAGCAUGCUACGGUGAAUACGUUCCCGGGUCU
rnacentral:rRNA from 1 species